GUGCAGCUGUCUGGGAGCCCAGGAAGUCACACCCGUCUCGCGCCCUGAGCUGAAGCUCCAGCCCACGUGGCGAAUAGCGAACCCCCACCGCUGAAGGGAGUGCCUAGCAGGGCCCCUCCUCCAAAUCAGGGUACUUGGACUAGAUAGCAAUUCUGUGUUGCAUGGCGUAUUCGAGCAUGACAAGAUGCCAGUGAGGUGUGGAGAAGCAGAGGAUUGAAAAGUGCCCUGUGCAUCCAGAAGACACACUGCCUCUCACUUUUCAUAAUGCUGGAUGGAACUGUGUGGCUAAUACAUAUUCAUAAGUCCAAGGAGAAUGUCUUAGAUAAAUGAACAAACAUCACAGGAUUGCUUGCUGUGCAGCUCGGCUAACGCUUCAGAAUUAGUAAUGUGUUAUUUACGGAAGUGAAAUAUUUGCUUCCCGCGGCACCUUUCCCCACAUGUAGAUUACUGGCCUGUUUUAAAUUUUUGUGUGUAUAUAAUUUUAACUAUUUUUGGUAGUUAAUCCAGCAGUAUUUUAGUUUUAUAAGAUAUAAAUCUUGAAAAUUUUUAUUUUCUCAAAUGGAAUUCUUCACAUUGCAGAGAUAAUGACUUUGAAGUGAUUUACCGCCACCCAAGGCCCCUUCUCAUAUCCAUGUAUUUACUUGUAUUCCCACCAAUAAGGAGCACUUACCCAUGGGAUGCUAAUACUUUUUAAAACAAAUGGUACUAUUUUCAAAACUUCACAGGUAAUGAGACAACCUGUCUGUUAAUUGAGGAGGAGCUGACACUAUUAAAUUUGGUUCUAUAUGGAAGUGAUGAAGUAGUAAAAGCAUUGCUUGUUCUUAAGAAAUUUCUAUUUAUGAAUUAAGGAAGUCAACUUUCUUUACUUAGAUGUGAGGCUUUGUAAGGUGGACCCCCAUAAUGCUGUGAUUUUUAACUGGAAUGAUUCUGUGCAAGCAAACACUGCUGCUGUGAGUUCAUGGGUGUAACAGUCAUGUCACCCCCAGAACACGACAUUUCAUGACACUCCUCCCUGUCCUCAAGCUCUCACAGCUUUUGUGUCUCCUUCCUAUCAUGUUCCCUGCAUACUGGAGGAGGAAUGCCGAUAUAGACAUUGAAUCCAUGAUUGAGCAUUCUCCACCACUUAGUCUACGAGUCUUGAUCAAUUAUAAAUCUGUGUAUUGAUCACCAUGCUCCUCAAAGAGAAUCUUCUCUUGACGAGACCAGGAGCAACUUACCCUUUAAAACAGUUUAAUAAAAACUUUCAGUGACACAGGUUAAUUCAAGAAGAAAUUCCAUGGGAAUUUCAGAGAAAAGAUGGAAAAAUUCAGAAAAGCAGAAAAGAUGGAAAAAUCCAGAGAAUCCAACUGAGAAGCUCAGUAACGCUUAGGGUUCAAGCCAUAGCUAAUGGGUUUAAUAUCCCAGAAACUGUUUCCUGUAUAAUAAGGCAAUAUUCUUUCUUUUGCUUUUUUUUUCUUAUGAAAAUGGACUCUGGUUUAUUUGCUAUCAAGAGCACACAAAAGUCCUUUGAAUGGCUGGUCUGUUCCGUUCCUCUCCAUGUCCCCUUUCUCUCACAGGAGUCUUGCUUUCUCCCUUUCUGGCCCCACACAUACUUUCCUUAAAACAAACAUCCUUGUUUUAAAAGCAAAGAAGACUCUGCUCUCCAUUUUUGUUUGACUUCCCACACAUUGCUGUUAACGAUUCCCCAAACACAGAUGGAAGACAGGCUUGGACUCUUCCACUGUAAGCUAUUUCACAAGAUCUCUGCCCUUUAAAUAUUUUGAUUUGUUCUUCUGGAAAGAAACUUUCCCUGUCAGCUACCCCCUCCCCUGCUCCCCACUUGCUCACCACCACCAAGAAUCGGUUAUCUGUGAAUGUUACCAUUCUGUUAGUUUCCUCCUUUUAGUGAUACGGGGCUAAUCUUGCAUUCAAGAUUGCUAUGUGCAUCUGGGAUGCACCCAUGGAAAAGAAACAUUAGUACUUUAGUUAAUUAUCAUUCAUAAUUUUCUGUUUUACCAGUGAGCUAGGAAAGGCAUGGCCAGCAUUCCCAGUGGAUUGGGGAAAUUGUGGACUGCAGUUUGUCCUUGUUCCCGGAGUUUAAGACCACUGGCUUUUCAUGCCGUCAGAAGUGAUGUAGAUGUAGACUGUUCCUUUUCAAGGGGAUGGACUUCACCUUGUCACAACCACUAGUGCCAGCAUGAAAUAUUAUAUUAAAAAAAAAAAGCUAUUGAGCAUAAUUCCAAAAUAAUCUAAUGCGUUUACUUGGAAGAGGUUUAGUAUAGAACAAAAAGUAUAUGGUUCAGAGAUUACUCAGAAAUGCAAAUGCCUGAGAACUUGCCCUUGGAUCUGCUGUCGUGUCCUUAUCGCAAACAUGAUCUUAACCUUAUCUUAAAACAGAAUCAACUGUGUACAUCUUCUAAUGCCAAUAUUUAUUAUCGCAUGAUUUUUCCAGCAUUGCUACUUGCUUGAAAAACUUGAGCCACCUCUAAUUUUAGAACAUUCAUUACACCAAAUUGCCUAAUCUGAGAGAAACACAUUUUUUCUUUCCCUCCCUUCCUCACUCCUUUCCUUUCUUAAAAACACAAGCUUAGAAGUAAAAAAAUAUAUCAUUAAAAUUUCAAACAACUUUGAAUAUUUCAUGUUGAUACAUGAUGCAUACAGUCCUAUACCUUGAGAUUAGAACACAUCUAAAAAUAAAUUUAAACUGAUUUUAAUGUUUCUAUGCUUCUUGUAAUUUAUAGAUGAUAGAGUUCUGGCUAUGAAUACAAUACAUAUUUCUCUAUAUAUACAUAUAUGUGUCAAAGGAACAUAGAAACAUUUAUUUGACAGUACCACUGAUACUGAGUAUACACACAUACACAUACAUCAAACUUAAAAUCUAUAUCCCAAAAUAUUUGAUUUCCUGUUAUAUAUUUUUAAUUUUAUCCUUUAAACUUAUGUAUUAUACAUUUAUACAUUUUGAAUAUAAUAUGUAUAUCAGAAACAUCAAUUAUAUAUUUAUGUUAUACUAGUAUCUGCUUAUCUAUAUUUACAAACAGAAAGAUAAAAAUAUCAACAAAUGAGGUCUCACAGGAUAUGGAUUCUUACUCUUCUCUUCUUGACAAGUUUUAUAUGCGCAAACAAGUGUAUGUCCUCAGACAUACAGGUAGUCUACGUUAAUACUGUCCUUUACCAAAUUUACUUGUGUUUUUUCUAGGCAUGAGGUAGCAUUGCAUCUCGUUUGAAGUUAGAUAAAGAGAUGUGGCUUACAUGGCCAGUGGAAUGUGAGCAGAUGUAGUGCAUUUCACACACAGGUGAAAGGUCCAAAAGCCACUGUUUAGCUUAUGCCAUUAUCUGUACUAUGGUGACUGUCAAGCACAUAUUGGCCUGAUAUCUUUGUCAGGGUUUCUGGGUUUCUGAUUGGUUAGGAUACACAGACAUUUCUAAUACCCUGAAACAGGCAAGAUUGGCAGGAAAUAAACUUUUGUUAUACAAAAUUGCUGCAAUAUGUGUGGUGGUUGUUAACCCAGCAUGAAAAUACAACCCAGCUUGAGUGCUGGCAAACUUUUCCUGUAAAAGGCCAGAGAGAAGGCAUUUUGGCUUUUAUAGCCUACAUAUUGUCUCUAUAAUAUAUUUCCUCAGUCUUUUUUUUCUCAUAACAAACAAAAUUCAAAAUAAAUUCUUAGGAUACAACUCAUAUGAAAGUGGACUACAGUCCAGGCUUGCCCAGUGGGCUAUAGUUUUCUAAUUGUCACCUAAUGACUUCUUGGGAUAAAGAGAGGAAAGUGAGGGCCAGGAAAUAGGCCACUGGUUAAGAACACUUGCUUCUUUUCCAGACCCGAGUUUAGUUCAGAGCAUCCACAUCUGGCUGCUUACAAAAGCUGUAACUCCACCUCCAUGGGGUCCCACACCAUCUUCUGAAUGCCACAAGCACCUCCAUGUACAUAGAUAUGGUAACAUGCACAGAGGCACAGACACACAUACACACGCACGCACGCACAUAGACACAUACUGAGACACAGCACAAGACAUAAACAUACAAAUAAAAAUAAAUAAAAAAAUCAGAAAUGAGGAUGUAGCUAUUUAGAAAAAAGAGGACAUACUUCUUGUUGCUGUCCAAACCACAAUUAACAUUUCAGUUUAAACAAGUUAUAACAGCAUAUUUUUUUUAAAAAAACCUAUGCAGAAAUUCUUCAUUGUCCAUUUCAUUUACUUUAUUUUUACAUAGAAUGUCAAAUUCAAAUGGAGCUCUGUGGUGACAUAGCAUAAAGUUUCUCAAGGUAUUUCCUUGAGCAUUAAGAUGCUACACACAAACAUGUAGAUACAUGAUGGAGUUGUCUCAACAUAAAAAAUUAUUUUACAUGUUACAUCCACAAGCUCAUUUUUAGCAUUAAACCUGUCAAUAUGAAAUGGAAUGCCUACUCCUUGGAGCACACUGUACUGCAUAGUUUGGUUUUGUCUUGUUAUUGAGGACCUAGAGUUUGAGUCAUUGUCAACACAGGAGGUCUGUGUCAACUUUUCAUCGUUUCCUAAGUAUCUGUGUUUGGCCCUGUGAUCUGGCUCUAGGUUUGCAAUGUAUCUGGACAGUUUAUUUGGUCAAUCAGGGCUUACACUCCAUUUGUUAGUGAUGUUAAAUAACCUCAUGUUAAAUAACCUCUGAGAGCUUAAAACUGUCAUAAUUAUCUUGGUUUCAUAAGAAGCACACCCUGGAGAUGGAAGGACUUCCUUAAGUUUUUAACCUUUCUAGAUCAGUUGUUUUAGUGAAAAGAAUUGGUAGUAGCAGUUUCUGGAAACUGUCAGGGUUUUAAAAGCCACAAACAGGGCUCAUCAUGGAACUUGUUACCUGUGAUGGACACCCUGCUCCAGUGGACUGCUUCCCUCUCGUACACGAUCAUCAUCUUCCCAUGUUGAGCUUUCUAAACUCAAUUUGGACCUGUAAAGUGAGAAUCAAGUGUUUUUCACUUACAGUUACAUCUGAAGGUUGUAACAAAGUCAAAAAAUGGUCCAUGGGACUACAUCCUCAGUCUAUGGAAUGCUGUCUCCCACACUCAGGGUGUCUUCCAACCUAAAUUAAACCUUCCUGAAAACAUCCUUCUAGACACACUGAGGGGUGAGUACUCUUGAUGAUUUUAAUCCUCUCAAGUUGGUCAGCAAGAUUAAUGAUCACACAUUCCAUGUAGACAAGAAACAAUGGAGUAUAACUUAAUAUCCUAUUACAGUUAUUUUUUUCCUACUCUGCAGUAGUGAAAUACUUCCUGAGAAUUCUUUAGACAAGAAAACAUCAAUGCAGAUGCCUUUUCACUUCAUAUGUAUGUCUUUCAAGAUUUUCACUAAAAGUCUGCUAUUCAACAAAUAACCACACGUCAGAAAAAUAGUUCUGGAGAACAUCAUGUGGAGGGACAUAUUUGACAAACAGUGAUAGAAAUUGAUCAGCUAAUUUUGAGUGCUUCCUAUGGUUAUGAAAGUUGAUAUCAUAGCUACACCAAGCCCCACGUGCAAGGCAUCCCACCACCCAUGGUUGAAACAUCAUGUUAGUAAGUUGUCGUUGCUGUUCUGGUUUUGAAACAGGACUGCAUGUAGUCCAGGGCCUGCUGCAAACUUACUGUGGAGCUAAGGAUAACUCUUAGUUACUAAUCCUCCUGCCUCCAUUUCCUGAAUCCUGGGACUACAAAGCAUGCAUUACUACACUUAGUUUAAGUGAUUCUGAGGACAGAACUCUGUUUUGUGCUUACGAGACAAGGACUCUACUAACUAAACUACGCUUCCACUCCCAUGUUAUAUAUAUUACAAUAUAAUUAAAAUUUUCAUCCUUUCUCUUCCCUCCCUGCCUCCCAGACUUCCCAUGUAGCAUAUCCUCCUUUGCCUUCUUGCAAAUCCAUGGCCUCUUUUUAAUUGAUUGCUAUUGCACGCACAAGUAUGCAAUAAAUUCAUGAGUUUAUUGACUGUGAGAAAUACAAAUUGAUUGGGAAUCUUUUCUACCUACUAGGGAACAGUAGGCCUAUGUGGCUGUUGUUUAUGGGAUAUUACUCUAGUCUGAGAAGUUUUGGAAAGCUAUGAGUCAUUUAUGCUAUUAGCUAAUAUAAUGAAUCUAAGUCUUAUUUAAAUGUUUGUUUUAAUAGUAUUUAACCAAUAAUUUAAGAAUAAGCUAAAUAGGAAAUUACUAUAGGCUACUGUAACUUACUAACAAUCUGGGUUUUACUGGAACUUACUAACAAUCUGAGCUCAUGCCAACAUUAUAAAUUCUAUUGAAUGGUCUAGUUUGAAAAGCUCUGUUCUGGAACUAGUCUAGUCCCAAGAAGAGCCCUGGGGAUAAUGGGCUUUUGAGGACAUGGAUUAGAAAUGAGUGGAGCUGUAAGCAACUGUAAAAAAUAAUAAUAUAAUAAUAAUAACAAUAAUUCAGGGCUGGGUCUGAAAUUGAUGGAUCUGUGGCAUCAUGAACAGUAAUAAUCAGAACAGCUUGAUAAAUGAACACACAUGCUAAAUGUCUGACAGCUUCUUCAUUCAGCAAUGUUCACAGCCGGACAAGAAAGGAUGCAUUAUAUCUUUCCUGCAAAAAAGAAUAAAGCUUUAGUGUUGAAGAAACUUGCUCAACAUCACCAUGUUUAUAGCAGGUCGCACCGUGAAGGUAAUAUUCUACUUCAAUGAUGGUUGAUUGAGUCCUGAACUGCAUGGCUGCUGUUUAACUGAGCUUAAUAAAGUAUGCAAAUGAAUUUUCAGUAGUUUUAAAGCUAUAUUUAAUGUUUCUAGUUUUCAAACAGUUCCAUGAAAAGCAAUCAACUUUUUUAAUUAAAAAAAUGAUGAUGCACUUACACAGCAUCAGGCAUAAUACUGGUGCUUCACAAAAACACUUUGAUACAAGCAUCAAUUCAGGGAUGGAAGUACAUAUUACUAUUUACAUUACUAAUAUAAAAACAUCAAGCUCAGAGAGGUAAAGAAAGCUGCUUCAGAUUCAGAAAGUAUGUGACAGAGCUUGAGUAUCAGCAGAAUGUAGCUAUACAACUUCUGUUCUGAUCUUUUCUUUAAGGGAGAUUGAAUAAUAGUAGGGUUAUGACAAUAACAACAGGUAAUAUCUCAGAUUUUGCCCAUGAAAAACACUGUUUAAACACCCUUUGUACUUCCAUAACUGUAGUGUGUGAAAACAUUCUUUUACUCUUAUUCUGCAAAUGAAGUACAUAAGUAUAAAAAGUACUAAAUAAUUAUCCAUCUAAUUGACAGCUAUAACAAGCCAAUAAUGAAGUAGUCUGCAUUGGUCAAAACCCAAGGUCAUACCACGAUAUUAUAUUUACAAAAAUAAACAAAGACUAAAUGCUUACAAAAGUCAUAAGAUUUGGAAAACCAUUUCCAAAUCCUGGGUAGUCUGCCUACAUUCUCUCUCCAAUUUAGUAUACUCAAAAGGGUUCAGCAACAUCAUGGGACAGAUAUACUAUGCCAAAAGUCCUUUAGGGAAACAAAUAUUACCUAGAGUCAGAAACACAGAGAAUGGAGCAUACAGCCUCAGAGUUCUUCCGAAACUGAACAGGAUGUAGACCCUCACUGAAUAUUUUUCAUCUAGUCAGUAAAAGUCAUAAUCUUACUGAGAUUUCUCUAAAGUAAUUGCAGCCUUUAUAAAAAUGGUGGGAUUUAUUUAAAACAUGCAUGCAUUCAGCCAUAAAAAUAAAGUGGAGAACAAUGCAAAUCAAAUUGCAUAAUUUGUUCAAAUGCAUGUCUCUUUGGUCACACCUUCUUAAUGAAUAGAAGCAGACAAGCAAGGCAGCUAAUAAGUUAUUUUAAUCGGGUGAUGUAACGGUGUGUGAACUGUUACCUCCUGGGAGAGUGACUGACAGAUUACUGGUCUCAUUACUGUGUAAAUUAGUCUCAGGAAUUCAUUAGUGCCCAGUGUGGCAGCUCUGCUCAGUGCCCUUAAUUUGAAGAAAGAGACAGGAGGCCGGUGUGCCCACGCAACUCCAAAGACAGAUGAUCUGGAGUUGAAGGCUUUUAGGGCAAAGGACUCUCCUGAGAAGAUGGCAAUUAUUCAUGUUUUUUUUUUUUUUCAAGCCAGUGGUGACAGCUCUCUUUCCUUUAGUCUGUAUCACUACAUUAAAUAGCUACAGGGGACUGGAUUUCACAUUACCUUGGAAGAAAGAGAUCUAAUACAGAGUAUUUCAAAGGUAUUAUCUGUAUGGCUGAGCUUAAGUAUAAACAAUUUGACUUUACAGAAGGAUGACAGCAAAUAGAAGUAGCAUGGAAAAGUGUAAUUUAUCAGUAACUCUAACAUUUAAUUUUUAUGCAAUAGGUUUUCCCCCAUCACCGAAGCUUUGUAUUGAUUGAUUUUAAAGUAUUUUAUAUGCUAUUUCUCCCACAGGUAGGAGAACCAUUUCUCUGAAGAUGCUUCAUAACAAACAAACAAUAUUCUAAUUGUUAGAAAAGAAACAGAAUCCUCAAAGCAUUGUUCAGAUUAUAUUAAAAAAAAAAUCUUUCCAACUUUGACUCUAGCUCUUAGAAAUAAAUUCAUCUUACAAGCAACAAUAUCCAUGUAGGAUUUUAUAUCUGAAACCAAAAGUUGCCAUUCCUGUGAUAUAAUAUUUCUGUUUUAUUCUAUUCUAAUCUAAUUCAUAGCACUGUAUAGUAUCAUAUUUCUUUUUAAAAUGAUAUUGUUCAAACUGUUGAUUCUUUUUUUAAAAUUAGUUUCAAUUUCAUUUUACCAUUAGCAAUAAUACAGGAUAUGUACAUUGAAAAAAAAUACAAAAUCUCAAGGGAAAAUUUUUUCAUGUUAAGUUUUAUAAGAAAAAUUACUGUGUAUGUACACAGCAUCCAACAUAAUACUUGUGCUUCACAAAAUCACUUUGAUACACUCAUUAACUCAGUGAUGGAAGUACAUAUUACGAUUUCCAUUACUAAUAUAGAAACGUCAAGCUCAGAGAGGUAAAGAAAGUUGCUUCCGAUACAGAAAGUAUGUGACAGAGCUAGGGUAUCGGCAGAGAGCAGCUAUGCAAUAAAUAUUAUUUGAACUAAUAGUGCAUUAUUUGCACACACAAUCUUGGCUGCAAAAGUGGGCUACUCUUGUUAAUAACAGUGACUUCUCCCACCAGUAACUGCAGAACAGAAGACACAGGCAGGCUGGUUUUCACCAUUAGCUCCUGGGAUCUAGUAAGAGUAUCUGCGUGCCCUCUCUCAAUCAUCCUAUAGACACAGGGCCACUCACACUCAGGUGGUGGGCUCUGGAUAUACUAUCUGAACUCACAGGUUGCCUUCUACUCUUAUCAGCUGCAUGUAAAGCUUGAUUAAAAUUCCUGUGCAUAUUGUUUAAGUCUCUUAUAUCAGUAAAUAAUAUAUAAUAUAGAUGUAUUUGGAAGAUUAAACAUUUUAGCAAUUUAGAACAAUUUCUGACAUCUGGCACAUGGUCAAUUAUUGUAAGCCAUUAGUACAGUUAUACAGAGCAUCUUUAUGACAUUAUGUGGCUGGUUGUCCUUCAAGAGACUGGAACAGAGACUUCAAACUUUUAUGUAUUUUGUAGCUGGGAACCCAGGCUUCUUUUUCUUUAGCUUUACUUCUAAGAAUUCAAUUUCUCAAGAUGGUAUUCUCUUUGUUUUCAAGAGAACCUGCCAUUGACCUCCUCUCAGACUUACAAAGAAAUAGGUCCCUAACUCUCCCUCACAAGGGAGUACCUGAAUAUCAGUCCUGGAUACCACUGUGUUGCUAGACUGCAGCUGAAUGUCACUUUCUUAGUGUCCAAGGCUAACCACUCUAGCACAUCUUUCAGAAGAUGUUGAAUUAGAGCAAUAAGGUCAAGAGCAGAUGAGUCAGCUUGGUCGUAUGGAUUGAGUGACUUAAAGCAAGCUAGAGUGGGGCGUUCGCAAAGAGUUUCUAUAGAAACAUACUCUUGUUGUUUUCCCUUUCAACUCUCCUGGAGAUUGUUGAUGAUAAAUGAAUGCUCAGAGGUUAUCUUUGACUUUUCUUUCUCAUUGGAUACUCCAUCAUGGUGUCAGCUAGUCUCUUUCAUGAAGGUAGGUAUGUAGUUAUUGGCCAGAGUUUAUCAGUUCUAUUUCUAUUAUCACAAACCCAGUUAACAAUCUAUGUGUUCUUAAAAGGAACAAAUGAGGUAUGACCAGAAAAUAAGCAUGAGCCUAAAAGUAGCGUAGUAACAGCAAAGCAAUCGCCAGUACUAGAAUGACCACCAAAACUGACUUGCCUACUCUGUGUUGCCCCUGUGCUCACAGAAUAAAAGGAAAUCAUGUGUCCCUGCUUUGGAAAGCUGGUGUACAAAUCAAUAUCUGUUGGUUUUUAUUAAAAGCUAAAACAUUAAUGAUUAUAUUUAUUUAAUAUUUAAUUGCAUUUAGUUAUCAAUUAAUGAGUAUCAGAUAAUAAAUGAAAAUUUGUGUCAAAAUAUGUCUUGAAUGACAAGGUAAAAACUGUUUUUACCAGCACAAAAUGACAAUGCAAUAUUUUUCCUUUUCUUGGUAUUACUCAGGAUUCUCUAGAGGAACAGAACACACACACACACACACACACACACACACANAUAUAUAUAUAUAUACUCAGCCCCUGAGUCUGGAUGUCUCACCUGGUCUGCAAUAUAUGCCAUAAUCUCAAAGUAGGUUUUAUUGCCAAUGAAGGAAUGGAGUUGAUCAGGACAGUGAGUUAACGGGGGUGGAGAGCAGUCUUUCUUCUCCCAUGCCCUUUAUAUAGGCUGUCAGAAGAAAGUGGCUCUUUCCACUUCAAAAGAUCUGGAUCUAGAUUAGAAGUGAGUCUCCCUACUUCAAAUCAUUUAAGUAAAGAGUUAUACCCAGACAUUUUGGUUUUAGUUAAUCUCAUUGUAGUUGACAACCAAGAGCAGUCGUUAUAAGUUCAGCCCUUAUCAGCUUGAUACACAAUUAUAUUUUCUUAUGCUUAAUUUCCAAAUGAAAACAAUAACCAGAACAUAGUUAUAUCUAAUACUGUGUAACUGGCUGUGCUACAACAGCAAGCAUGAUUAUGGACCUCUGUUCUGUCCUCUGUUGAAACAUGGUGGCACAUUCUUACUCCAAUUGUAGCACUUUAAAAACAGAGACAGGCAGGCACUGAGGUGUGCUGGCUAGUCAGCAUGCUCUAAUCAGUGAGCCUCAGCUCCUACUGAGAGAUUUUCUCAAAUAACAAGGUGAGGAGGGAAAGUGGACAGCUUUUGAAGAAUGACAGCAGAGAUUGAUCUCUGGCCCUGACCUACACCUGACCUACAAACACACACACACACACACACACACACACACACACACACACACACAUACAUGCACCCAUGCACAAGAAUGUACAUAUAUGUUCACAAGUCACACACAUACUUAUAAAUACUCACCCACACAUACACAUUCAUGUAUAUUCACAUAGACAACCAUGCACACACACACAUGCAUACACACACAUACAUGUACACAGAUAACUUAUGCAUACACACAGACAUACACACUUGUAGGCACAUGCACAAAACUGGUGAAUGAAUAUCUUUUACUACUAUGUAUCUUUAGAAAUAGAGUCUUAACUUUAGUGUAUAAAAAAUUUCAAAUUGCUCAGAUCCUAUUUGUUUUGUGUAAUUUUUGUGCAUGUGAUACAACACAGUAUUUAUAUCUUCACAAGAGUUAUAUAUUAUGAAAUCUUAUUUAACUCUAUUUACUGACAAUGUAUCAUACAAUGUUCUAGGCACUGAGAAACAGUAAAUCAUUUAAAAAACUGAUUCAUGCUUAACAAUCAUUAAAUUCUGAAAAACUUUGAAUGUUUAAAGUUUUUAGGCUAUAAAGAAGAACAACUAAGAUUAUACUCUCUGAAGUUGCAUGUAGGAUAUUUCAUUAUAACCCUAAGUAAUUGGUGUUGUUUUAAGUUUAUUUUGAUACUUUUCUAAAAAUGAAAAAUGACACCACUGUUUGUGGGUUAGUAGCUGGUGGGAAUUCUUUUUACAGCUGCCUGUGUCAUUUGUCUUAAUCAGGCAGCAAAUAAGCCUCCAUUUCUUCAGGACAUUAAGAUCACCGUGUGUCUUUUCUAUUCUGACCCCUGGAAUUUCAAAAAUAAAUAUAGCUUAAGCUCUAUGUUUUUCCAUCCAUGUGGAAAAAAUAUGCAGAAUCACUAAAUUCUAUGUUUCAAUUCACAUACUUAAAAUGAUGUUUUUUUUUUUUAAAGCUGGUAUAACUUCACAGAAAGAGAGGUUAUGUUACGUGUGUUUUAGUAGAGAAAUGUAAAUGUGUGAAAGUUCCAUAACGUAGAAGCAACUAGUAUAUACCCUUAAGCAUAUUGCUGACCUCUCUGAGGUUUUAGUGUUGCUCUGCCAAGUUCAUGUAUGAAUAGUCAGUAUGUAUUAUAAAUGUAUACACACAUACAUAUGUAUGUAAGAGAAGGAAUGGUGUUUACUGAAAAAGCAGUUAUUUAAACAUUUUAGAGCUUAUGUGUAUGGCUUGCAAAAAUUAGUGAAAGAUCAAAACCUACCCAGAAUGACAUCAUAACAAGGUAGUAUGACAUUAGAUUAUGUGAAAAGCUGAAAUAUUACACAAGGGGGUCAGAAAGCAGCUGGCUCUAUGUAAACUAAAGAAAUCCAACAAACAUUGUAAGACAGCUCUCAUUCUUUUUUUUUUUUUUUUGGUUUUUCGAGGCAGGGUUUCUCUGUAUAGCCCCGGCUAUCCUGGAACUCACUCUAUAGACUAGGUUGGCCUUGAACUCAGAAAUCCGUCUGCCUCUGCCUCCCAAGUGCUGGUAUUAAAGGCAAGCCGGGCUUUUUUUUAUUUUUAUUUUUUAUUUUUUGGUAGUUCUCAUUCUUGAUCUGCAGUGGACAUAGCAUCUAGUAUUAAUUUUAAGUAAUGUACUAUCAUUUUUACAAAUUCUACAAAUUACAGAUAUUACAAAUAUUUUCUAAAACACAAGGUCCUAAUUUGGGGUGUGUGUGUUCCCUAAAAAUAACAGUUUUUGUUAUCCUGCAUAAAAUUAAAAAUGUUUAUUUCAUUUUUGUGACUUCUCUUGAAAAUUUCAUUUUAAAUUCAGUAUAAAUAACUUAUCUCUAUUAUUUAGAGGAAACAUUUUUUACAUUCAAUAAAACAACUUUGGACUAUUUAUACAUGUUUUAUUUUUAUUCUGGGGGUCUGAGCAAUGCUUACUUUCUUAGACAUUGAAAUCAAGACCCUUUUGCUGAACAUAUGACACAUUUUGGUCAUGGGCUUUAGAGAAACCUAGCUGGAACUGACUUGGAAGCCUUCUCCAUGGCCACCUAACUCUCGUAGUAUAAAAAGAUACUGUGCCUGCUGCCAAGAGAAAAUUAAUCAGAUCCUUCCCAGCUGUAAGAUUUCAAACCAAAACAACAUAUCCCCCCAAAAUACAGUAGUACCACUUACAUGUUUUGGUAAGCAACAGAGGUAUAAUUUGAUAUAAGUUGCAUUUAAUAGGAAUCUAUCCAUGGCUGGUGAGGUCACAGACCCUCAUAAAGAAUCGACUACUAUUCUAAAGCAGUAUAAUUUCUAGCUGCAGUAUAAACAUAUAUUCUUAUGCCCACAGAUAAGUAUAGCCUUCACAUCUCAUCAAAGAAGAUUCUUUUUUGCAGUGUGUGUCAUAUGGAGACUCUACCAUGGAAACUCACAAGUGGUUACAAUGCUGAGAACCACUGACUGUAGCUUGUCCGUCCCCAGAUGAUACAUCUACAACACAACCCUUGCACCUAAGGUUCAUUAGGAAAGACAGUAGAAAAAUUUAUAAGAGCCAGAGAUCCAGACAUUUACUGCAAGAUAGUGUCUUUGACAGGUGAACUGCCACCAGGAAAUCACAAUUGUAGGGAAACAAGACCUGCAAAGUGGUUGACAUGACUCCAUAGAUGGGGCAACUCUCCUCCUGGAUGAGGAGCUUAGCAAGUAAAUACGGACAGACCAGUCUUCGCUAAGGACAAGGCUACUGAUAGGUGUUGUCUAACUCCAAGUGGUCAGCUCUAAACAUACAUACAUAUGAGUAAUACUAAUGAAAUCAGGAGGGAGAGAGAGAGAGAGAGAGAGAGAGAGAGAGAGAGGAGCGAGAGAGGGAGGAAGGGAGGGGAGGGGGGGGAGAGGGAGAAUGUAUGUGUAUGUGUGUGUCUGUCUGUCUAUAAUAAAAAUAAUAAAUUUUACAGGAAAUGGAGGGAACACAGAGUUGGCUGGGGAAGAGAUGCAUGGAAAUAAUGUAAAUACAGUACUCAGGUAAGAAAUUCAUUUAUUAUUAUUUAUUAUUAUGAAUAUAUAUAUAUGACACUCUCAAAUAGAAAUAUCCCAAUUCAUAUGCUAAAGGACUGCCUACCAUUUAGUUCUUUUUCUCAAGGCCUGAGAAGCAGCAGCAACAGCAUCCCAUAAUGAUGAAAGAACCACAUAAGAUUCCCCAAAGGAGCCUGAUGCCUUUAAUUUCUCAGAAGAAAUGCAAUUGCUUCUUUAUCACAUACAAGUUUCCAUAGUCUUGCUCAUUCAUAUACAAUAAACUCCAGUGUUUUUUUCUUUUUUUCUUCACUUUUUUUAAUUGUUGAAAAAUUCACAGUUAUAGAAUACUUUGUGCCUACUGUACAAACAUCAGCAUGUCUAGAAAGUCAAAUGAGGUUUAAUUAUAGCUUGGAUGGUAUUCCCCACACAUUUUGUGAUCAGCUCUUCUACAAUUUUAAGUGCAUUUAAGCAUACCCACAAAGUUGUUAACAAAAGCACAGAUUCUAGUAAACAUUAUAAUAAAGUUAUAUACCAUUUCAUUUUAGGGAAUAUGCAGGGUAUUGAGCCCAGGUUUUUCACACGCUAAGCAAGUGUUUUAGCAUGGAGCUACAUGACCAGCCCAGCAUCUGAAUUUUCAGUGGGAAGUUCUGUUGUAGUACAUUGGUUUGUGUUACUAUGAGAGGAAUCUACAGAGCACUUUCUUCUUGCAAAACUGAAUCUCUCUAUAUAUGAAAUAACUGUUCUUUUCACUGUCCACUACCACCAUUCCAUUUCCUAAAACUUUGACCACUUUAGGUGGCUUAUUGUUUUGAAACCUCACACUUUGUCAUUUUGUGAUUGGCUAUUUCAGUAGCCUGUCAAGACUCAGACUUUUAACAUGUGACAUGAAGUUCUUCAUUUUUAGAGCAAAAUAAUAUUAAUUGUGCAAACAUCCUAGUUUGCUUAGUCCAUUCAUUUGUUGGCAGCUAUUUCAGAUGAUUCUACUUCUUGACUAUUGUACUACAUAGUGGUGCUGAUUGCAGUGAUGUAAACUAUGUUUAGAACAUGUUUGCAAUUAUCAGAGGUACAGUGUUGGGUAACAGAUUUUUUUUUUAUGGAGAGAUAAAACACACACUUUUAACCACAGCUGGCUAUACCACUUUGGCUCCUGGUGGGUCACAGACGUGUACCUUCUAAGGAGCUAUCUGAAUUCGUGAAUGAAAGAAACACACACACACACACACACACACACACACACACUUGUUGUGGUAAAUCUCCACCCCAAAGCCCUGCAAAGAACACACAACUCAGUUGUAAUAUUUAUAAGCUGCACACCUAGAUUGGGAAGAUAUACCACUACACUACUAUAUUCCCCAGCUAUGAGAUCUCUUGCUACUUGUGGCUCCUCCAGGCCGUAUGGUUCUGCUCCAUCUAUUUUAUACCUCCUCUUCCUUCAUCUUCCUCUGUCUCCUCAUCUCUCCCUCCUCCUUCCUCUCUCCCCUCUCUAAAACCUCCAGCCCCAAUUUUCCCUUCCACUGCCAAAUCACAGGCUCUAGCCUUUAUUUGAACUGCUAAAAUGGGGAAAAGGCUCACAUAAAAUCUCCAUGUUGGGAUCCACUCCUCAUAAGGCAGCCCCUCUUGAGGAAGCAGAAUUAGCAUCAAAAUACAAACAGCAACAGGGCAGUUCACCACACACAUACACACACACACACACACACACACGUUUGUUGAGGAGUACAACCUGUUUAGUCUGUUCUGAAAUGCCACAGUGUAGAUAAAUCAUUAAAUUUAGUCUUGAUGGGAGGAAUGGAGCUGAAACUUCUUAUCUUUCUUUAGUUCUAGUAUUUAUCUUUUUAAUUACUUGUUUGCAUAAUGUUAGUAUGUAUUUGUGUCUCUCCUUUUUGAAGGAUUUUAUUAGUUGGAUGUUGGUCUGCUUAGUUUAUUCCUUAUAGUAUCAUCUUUUUCCUUCUUUGUUUUAUUUUUUAGUGGAUUUUGUUCAUAUGAUUUUCUGUCCUUUGUACUACAUUUUUAAUUUUGGCUGUCAUAACUAAAUUUUAGGUUCUCAUAAUUCUUUUUCUUUGGUUAGAUGGGAUUUUCCUUAAAUCUUAUUUUCAAGAUGCUUUUAAGAAUGUUUUAAAUGUUUGUUUUUGUUUUCUCAAUUAGUUCAGCUUCCUCUAAGGUGAUUUUCUGUCUUCCAAGUUUUGGUGUUUCCUUUUUAAUUUUGUCAGUUUUCCUCCAAUGGUAAAGACUUCUGUCUUUUAUUAAAGAAGAAGGACUGAGGAGAUGAACGUAUAUUUCUGUUUUGUUGUGUUAACAGGACAGUUUUCCUAUAGAGUUUUUCCUCUACCUACAGGAAUACCUUCCUGAGAUGGACAGACAAUGUUGACUAGCAAGUACUUUAGGAUGGAUGAUGGGAGCUUCUGUUUGGUUUGAAAACACUCCAGAGAUUUGGGGUUUCCACUUAUGCACCAACACAUUUAGAAGUUAGACUUUUCUGGACUUGUUUGGUUUCUGUAGAAACAAUUCUCACAUGUUUUUGAUGGGACAGAAUGCUGCCUUUCUGAGACAUGUGUUCAAGUUGGAGAUUGGUUUGAACUUUGUCAUAUUCAGCUUCAAAUAAACUGUUCUUAGCUUCAUAUUUUACCUCCCCCCCCCCAACUUUCGUCAACUGAUUUUGUACUCAAGAGUUCUCUGGGAUUCGAAAGGCAGGUUAACUGCCUUCUAUACACAUCUCUAUUGCUUGUUGAUUCCUCUUCAUAUAUAAAAUAUAAAGUAUAAAAUAUAAAAUAUGAUACAUGAUAUAUGAUGCAUGAUACAUGAUAUAUGAUAUAUAUGUUUUUAUUUAUUUAAAUUUCAAAUGUUAUCCCCUUUCCCAGUUUCUCCUCCCCAAACUCCCUAUCCCAUAUCCCACCCACCUACCCACCCCCCCACACACACACACUUGGGCCUCACUGCCCUAGAAUUCCCCUAUGCUGGGGGCUAAAGUCUCUACAGGGCCAAUUGAUGCCAGAUAAAGUCAUCUUCUGGUACAUAUGCAGUUGGAUCCAUGAGUUUGGUGGUUUAGUUCCAUGAGAGCUCUGGAGUUUCUGGGUUGGAUGAUAUUGUUUUUCUUCCUAUAGGGAAGAACAUACCCCUUCAGCUCUUUCAGUCCUUCCCCAAACUCCUCCAUUGGGCUCCCCAUGCUCAGUCAGAUGGUUGGCUAUGAACAUCCAAGACUGUAUUUGUCAGACUCUGGCUGAGCCUCUCAGGGGACAGUCAUACCAGGUUCUUGUCAGUAACUGCUUCUUGGCAUCUGGUUUUGGUGUCUGUAAAUGCAAUGAAUCCCUAGGUGGGGCAGUCUCAGGAAGACCAUUCCUUCAGUCUCUACAUCACUCUUUGUCCCUGCAUUUCCUUUAGACAGGAACAAUUUGGUGUUAAUACUUUUGAGAUGGGUGGGUGGCACCAUCCCUCAACUGAGGCUGAUCCCUAACUUCUGCAUAUGGUCUCUACAAGUUCUCCCUCCCCUCUGUUGGGUAUUUCAGCUACUGUCAUCCCCAUUGGGUCCUGGGAGCCUCUUGCUUUCCUGGCAUCUGGGACUUUCUAGUUGCUACCCCCAGUUCCCCAUCCCCCACUACUAAACCCUUCAUUCAAUUUCUUGACUCUCUAUACUUCUUCCUCCAUCUCCUCCCAUACCUGAUCCUGCCCCCUCUCCCUCUCUCUCUGCCACAUUGCUCCCACCCUCUACCUUCCAUGAUUACCUUGUUUCCCCUUCUAAGUAGGAAUGAAGCACUCACAUGUUGAUCUUUCUUCUUGAGCUUCAUAUGGUUUGAGUUGUAUCAUGUGUAUUCUGAGCUUUUUGCCUAAUAUCCACUUAUUAGUGAGUACAUACCAUGUGUGUUCUUCUGUGACUGAGUUAUCUCACUCAGGAUCACAUUUUCUAGUUCCACCCAUUUGCCUGUGAAUUUCAUGAAGUCAUUAUUUUUAAUAGUUGAGUAGUACUCCAUUGUGUAAAUAUACUACAUUUUCUGUAUCCAUUCCUCUGUUGAUAGGCAUCUGGGUUGUUUCCAGCUUCUGGCAAUUAUAAAUAAGGCUUCAAUGAACAUAGUGGAGCAUGUGUCUUAUUCUUCGUUCUUUUUGUGUCAAAUGAUCUUUCCUACACUUAUAUUCCAAGAAUUAUUUAGAAAUCUAAUCUUCAGGAAUGCAUAAUAGUUGUCUCAUCUGUUAGGCAUUUUCCUUUGUGCUCUUGUUUAUUAUCUGCUGUCUCCACCUAUGUUGCUCUCUGAUACAGGGAACUGGCUCUGCCAAUAAUGUUUUGUUACCAACUGCAGGCCAGUGGUCAUCUAAGUUUAACCAUUAAGAAAUACCAGAGAGAUAACAGCAAGUGGGGAAAGCAUAUCUUCACCUGCUUCUGCCUUGGGCAACAUCUCUAAAAUUUCAGCCCUUCUUUUAUUUCGACUAACUCAAUACCUUCUGAACAUACACAGCCCCUAACUUGUGAUUCCAAUUCUUGCCGAAUAGUGUUUGAUUCUAGGAUCAGCCAAUGAUAUCUUGUCCCUGGAUCCCUACAGCCAUAGUGGUGCUAAUAGCAUUAAAUGUUGUUUACUGAUAUGACUUUUUACAUCACAUCAUACUAUGGCAAGUGAUGACCUAUAUUGAAUUUUUUUUCUAUUGAAGUAUUCACCUUGAUUCUCGUUAUGUAUUCUGAAAGUCAUAGACAUAAGGAAUAAUCUGUAUAUCUAUAUUUUUAGUUUAAUGGGUUCUUAGAAGAAAUGGAAGAUCAAUGUAUAUGGCCAAUCUGUCAACAUGAACUGAAAAUGAAUGUUUUGUAGAUUUGGGUGUAUACCGUCAAAACCUUUGUAUCAUAUUUUACUUCCACUAACAGCAGAUGGUGUUCAUAUCUGACAUUUGCAUAGCUCAGUAUGUGAUACUGGUAUCAUCAGUGUAUCUGAUUUUUACAUAGGAGUAUGAAUUAAAAUAUAUGUAUGUUCUCUUGAUUCAGAACAUUCACUUUUCUUACUAACAGCUGGAAAUAAUCUAUGAGGACAGAAAGCCAAUAGCCCAUGAAUAAGUUUGGGUUUAAAGUGGCUAGUCAGUUACUCAAGAGUUCAAAUUCCCAACACUAAGAGAGAUACAAAAAGCUGCUUUCCUGGUGGCUGCUCUAAAGUCUAAAGAGCAAAGAUUUUUCUGGCUAGAAGUAAAGUUCUUCCCAGAAAAAGAAAGUCGUUACUGAGAUCCAAGUUUUCAAAACAUUACCCAGAAAACAGUAUGUCUCCCAAAAGGCUGAGUCACAGCCAUCUACCUCUGAUUUUAAGAUUAAUAAACACUCAGGAAAAGUUGUAUCUUACAUGGAUUUCCAUAUAGAGAAUAAGAAAUAGAGUAAAAGUACAGGAUAGAAUGGAUUUCGAAAAGUGACAUGUUGCCUUUCUCAACUGUAUGGAACAAAGUCUUAGUCGCAUCCCUUACACAAAUCACAGUGAUUUAUCAAUUUGAAUUCUUGGUUGGCCAUGGCUUAUGGCAUUUUAUGGUAGCUUUGCAAUCAUGCUUUUGGUCUUUGUAAUUUCAUUAAUUAACACUGUCAUCUACAUACUCAGGAUUUCCUCUAUGACCCCCAGCUUCUUCCACCUGCAGAGAUGGUAUACUUUUUCAUCACCCUAUUGCUUUGCUCUAAUGUGAAUUCCUUCCAUUAUUCAGCAUCAACUUUUUUAUCUUGAAAGUGAAGAUAAUUGGGCCCAGAAUUUACCAUCCCUUGCUGAGCAAAGCGUAUGACUAGGAGAGUUCACAUCUUCAGGAAAUCAAUGUAGCUAGUCCUUAUGUUCACAAAAAUCUCCUAUUAGGCUGCAUGAUUUUUUCUCACAACAAUGUUAUUUUAUUUUAUGUGUUGAUAUAAAGAAUUAACAUCUCUCUCCUCCUCCUCUUCUCCCACCUUCUGUUCUAACUUUUCUUUCUUCCCUUUCUCCCAUUAUUCAAGAAGAUGGAAAAGUGGAAGAGUCACAGAUCUUAGCUUCAUCAUCAAUGACUUUAUUCACAGCUCUCACAUUCCCUGUGGUCUAUGAACAGGUUACUGUAGAACAGAAAGGGGCUUUCAGUUUUAUAGGGUGACAAAUUAGUGUUCUGACUAAACUCAUAUAUUUUGGUGACUGGUUGGGGUGGAGCCCAAUAAUUUUGCCAAUAUGGGAUACUUUUGGUGGAUACUCAGUCCCAAAUCACAGUCAAGUGGAAACAAAGGACAGUCAGCAGACAGAGAACUCCAAUUAGAAUAAUUAGGAGAAGUAGUUUGCACAGCUUAAAAAAAAAAAAAAAAAAAAAGGAAGACCUCUUGACACUGCAAUUUAUCUAAUGAAUAUCUUAUUGAAGAUCACUUGUAAUAUGAAAUUAAUAGCCAAAAAAAUGAGUACAUUGGGGCAAGAGAUGCCCCUGGAGUUCCCCUAUUUUAUUUGCCUUAUUUCUACACACAUCAUUUCUAAAAUUAUUAGUUAUCAGCUUAAGCCCUCAGAAUCAAGGGAAAAUUCACAAAUUCUUUUACAAAAUAGCAACACUUCAGAGUCAUAAGUACUACACAAAAAUCCUCUAUUUGCUUCAAUUGAUGUCUGAAGGGAUUUAAGUUUAAUUGUCUUGGCCUCUUAGAAAAGAAGAGACUUGGAAGCAUUUACUAUGACUCAAACUUUUCCCACAUGCUGUGACUUUAAUUAUGGAAAGUCAGGUCCCCUUAUAAUACCCUUGAGUAUUGUGUAUGAAAUGCCCAUGAGGAACAAACCAAGUGUAAUACCAUGGUCUGAAAUGAUUAGCUCCUCUGCUUUCUAGUUUGUUUAAAAACACAGCUGAAUGAAUCCACACAGGAGAGCACCUCUAAAUGUUCAUUUUAUUUUCUUCAUAUGACUAUGUUCCCUUUUGGUACACAUCAAAUACACAAUAUUCAUAUGGAUCUCCAAACAGGGCAUUGGAUCUGUAGAAAGUGGAAUGGUUGUUAGCCAGAUUGUGAACAUUUCAAAUGAGCAGGAAUCAUCUGGAAGAGUAGUUAUUGCUCUUAACUAGUGAAUCGUCAAUUUAAUCCCUCAUACCAGAGAACAUUUCUACCUUGCCACUACUUUUAUCGUGAAGUGUUUUUUAUUUGUUAUCACGUGUCUAUCAGUCUUUUUCAACUGCAACAGAGGCUAUUGUGGUAUGCUCAGAAACUGAAAAGGGGUAGCAUAUCUCCUCUUAUAUUUCCUUUGUAUGAAUUUGGGGUAGCACUUAGGAAGAUAAUAAGUGGCAGGGAAGUGCUAAUCAUGUUUCAAGUACAAACCUGAACACAGCUACAGCAUAUAUAUUUUAAUCACAUUUUAUAAAUGUCCUAUUUAUUAAGUAUUUCAUUAAAUAUUUAAAUUUAAAUUAAAAUAAAUUAAAUGUAAAAAUAAUUUAAGGAGCUUGAUCACACUAAGAUCUCAGGUUCCCAGACACAGUUUGAAUCCAAGAGCUCUGACACACCCAGGAUCUCAGGAUCACAGGAUCCCAGAAUCAUGGGAUCACAUGAACAACUGGACUAUGAGGAUUUCUGAAACAACCAGGAUUCCUGGAGGGACAGGCCCCAGUCAGAUACAGCAAGGGCAGGCAGCAUUACAGAUAAUCAGAUGUCAAGAGGCAAGCAUAAGAGCAGAGCAACAGACACCAAGGUUACUUGGUAUCACCAGAACGCACAUCAUAGCAAGUUUGGAUACACCAUCACAUUCCGAAAAGCAAGAUUCAUAUCUAAAAUCACUUCUAAUAAUGAUGUUAGAGGACUUUAAGAAGGGCUCCCUUCUUAAAUAACUCCCUUAAAGAAAUACAGGAGAACACAAGUAAUCAGGUGAAGGAAUUGAAUGAAACCAUCCAGGGUGGGAAAAACAACAACAACAACAGAAUUAGAAACAAUAAAGAAAGCACAAAGGGAGACCUUGGAGAUAGAACACCCAGGAAAGAGAUCAGGAGUCAUAGAUGCAAGCAUCACCAACAGAAUACAAGAGAUAGAAGAGAGGAUCUCAGGUGCAGAAGAUACCAUAGAAAACAUUGACACAACAGUCAAAGAAAAUGCAAAAUGGAAAAAGAUCCUAACCCAAAACAUCCAGGAAAUCCAGGAUGUAAUGAGAAGCCAAAAUCUAAGGAUAAUAGAUAUAGAAUAGAGCAAAGAUUCCCAACUUAAAGGCCCAGUAAAUAUCUUCAACCUGAAGAAAGAUGUGCCCAUGAACAUAAAAGAAGCCUAUAGAAUUCCAAAUAGACAGGAUCAGAAAAGAAAUUCCUCCCAUCAUAUAAUAGUCAGAACAACAAAUGCACCAAAUAAAGAUAGAAUAUUAAAAGCAGUAAGGGAAAAGUCAAGUAACAUGUAAAGUCAGACCUAUCAGAAUUACACCAGACUUCUUACCAAAGAGUAUGAAAGCUAGAAGAUCCUGCGCAGAUGCCAUACAGACCCUAAGAGAACACAAAUGCCAGCCCAGGCUACUAUACCCAGCAAAACUCUCAAUAAACGUAGAUAGAGAAAUCAAGAUAUUCCAUGACAAAAACAAAUUUACACGAUAUCUUUCCACAAAUCCAGCCCUAUAAAGGUUAAUAAACAAAAAACUCCAACAUAAAGGAGGGAAACUACACCCUAGAAAAAGCAAGAAAGAAAACUUCUUUCAACAAACCCAAAAGAAGAUAGCCACACAAAUAUAUUCCACCUCUAACAACAGAAAUAGCAGGAAGCAAAAGUCAUUUUUCUUUAAUAUCUCUUAAUUUCAUUGUACUCAAUUCCCCAAUAAAAAGGCAUAGACUAACAGACUGGAUACAUAAACAAGACCUAGCAUUUUACUGCAUACAGGAACUACACCUCAGUGACAAAGACAGACACUACCUCAGAGUAAAGGGCUGGAAAACAAUUUUCCAAGCAAAUAUUCCCAACAAACAAGCUGGAGUAGCCACUAUAAUAUCGAAUAAAAUCGACUUUCAACCAAAAGUUAUUUAAAAAGAUAAGAAAGGACACUUUAUACUUACAAAAAAAUUGAAAUAAUCCCAUGCAUACUAUCAGAUCACCAUAGACUAAGGCUGGUCUCCACUAACAACAACAACAACAAAAAACAUUGGAAAGCCCACAUGAACAUGGAAACUGAAAAAUGCUCUACUCAAUGGUAACUUGGUAAAGGAAGAAAUAAAGUAAGAAAUUUAUGACUUUUUAGAAUUUAAUGAAAAUGAAAGCACAUCAUACCAAAACUUAUGGAACACAAUGAAAGCUGUGCUAAGAAGAAAACUCAUAGCUCUAAGGGCCUACAAAAGGAAACUGGAGAGAUCAUACAAUAGCAGCUUGACAGCUCAUCUGAAAGUUCUAGAACAAAAAGAAGCAAGCACACUCCAGAGGCAUAGACAGUGGGAAAUAAUCAAACACAUGGCUGAAAUCAAUUAAGUAGAACAAAAAGAACUAUACAAAGAAUCAACAAAACCAGGAGCUGGUUCUUUGAGAAAAUAAACAAGAUAGAUAAACUCUAAACCAGACUAACCAGAAGGAACAGAGAGUGUAUCCAAAUUAAUAAAAUCAGAAAUGAAAAGGAAGACAUAGCAACAGAAUUUGAAGAAAUUAAAAAAAAAAUCAUCAGCUUUUACUUCAACAAAAAUUGGAAAAUCUAGAUAAAAUGAAAAAUUUUCUAGACAGAUACGAGGUACCAAGGUUAAAUCAGGAUCAGAUAAAUCAUCUACAUGGUUCGAUAACCAUAAAGAAUAGAAGAAGUCAUUAAUAGUCUCCCAAACAAAAAAAAGCCCAGGACCGGAUGGAAUUAGUGCAGAAUUCUAUCAGACCCUCAAAGAAGACCUAAUAUCAAUACUCUUCAAACUAUUCCACAGAACAGAAGGAACACUACCCAAUUUGUUCUAUGAAGUCACAAUUACACUUAUACUUAAACCAAAGACCAAAGAAAGAAAGAAAUCUUCAGACAUAUUUUCCUUAUAAACAUCGAUGCAAAAAUACACAAUAAAAUUCUCUCAAACUGAAUCCAAGAACACAUCAAAAUGACUGAAGGAGCUGAAGGGGUUUGCAACCCUAUAGAAAAAACAAUGUCAACCAACCAGACCCCCCCAGAGCUCCCAGGGACUAAGCUACCAACCAAGGAGCACACAUGGACGGACCCAUGGCUCCAGCUGCAUAUGCAGCAGAGGAUGGCCUUGUCAGACAUCAGUGGGAGGAGAGGACCUUGGUCCUGUGAAGGCUGGAUGGAUGACCCAGUGUAAAGCAAUUCAAGGGUGGGGAGGCAGGGGUGAGUAGGUGAGUGGGGGAACACCCUAUAGAAACUGGGAAAGGGGGGGUGGGGUAGAAGUUUUCAGGGGGAUGGGACAGGUAAAGGGACUAACAUUUGAAGUGCAAAUAAAGAAAAUGUCCAAUAAAAAUUAAAUAAAAAUGAUUUAAUUUAAAUUUAAAUACUUUAUUAAUAGCCAUGUAUAUGGGGUAUAAAUAUAUUUUUUAAGGUUUUACUUGGUACAUACACAGAUACACAUAUAUGUAAAUUCACUUUCAAAGAAAGACAUGAAAAGAUUAACAAUUUAGAGGAUAAUUAAUAAAGUCAAAUUAUAAAGAAAAGUAGAGUCUGCUACUUUUAUAAACAUAUUGAGGCCCACCAGAAGUGAUUAUACGAAAGUAUGGUCAUGAACACAGGACCUGGGGUCUGGUAAACUCUUGAUGUUGUUAUUAUGAGCAUGAUUAUGAGCAUGAUUGACUUAAGUUUUAGGGAAACUGCCUCCUGGGAAGAGCUUAUUUUUGUAUAUGACUACUACCUCCUUGUAGUGCCAGCUCCUGUCUGUUCCUGAGAUGGACAACCAAGUGCUGUUUCCAAGGAAGAUGACUUCCAAAAAGAGAUCAAGAGGGCAGUUGGGGAAUUGAGAGAUAAGUGGGAGAUCUAGGAUUGAAACAUCAGGUUUCAACAUUGAACAUUGACUCCAUCCCACUUCUUCCUACUUGGGAGACUGUCUCUAAUAUGCCAUUUUGGGGGUGGGGGUGGGGGUGGGGGUGGGGGUGGGGGAAAGGACUGCAAAGAUUAUCCAUAACUGGAGUAGGCAUUUCUGCUAUUUGUAGUCUUUAGCGGGAAAUGGUUCCAGUUAGCUGUAAGAAAGAAACACUUGCUCCUUCUGUUUCAGAGGUCAUUACGAGUGAGGUAGGUGUGGGAUCUAUUCCUGUUGGCAACAGCAUCAUGGAGAGAAAGGGAGAGCCAGGAUUAUCUCACAAACAGGAAGGAACAGCAAGGUUUACACCCACUGCUUUUUAAGUUAUAGCAGUGAAGUCUGACCCGAGUUGAGUAUGGCACUUGAGGUGACUCUGCUGGCAUUCUGAAACAUAAUCUUAACCCUCUCACAUGAGUAGUUCUGGAGACACCACAGCACCAAGGAAACGUGAACAUAACACAAAGGGCGCUCCAUCUGCGCAGAUAGCAUGUAGAAGUAAUGGAAGCUCCCCUCAACUCCAUUUAUGUGCCUUGGUGGGUACUAUCAGCAUUCCAAAGAGGAAGAGAACCUUUCCUCAGGUUUCAGAUCUGAUCUUGGAUGGUAGAGUUCAUUUUCAAGCCAGGCUGAUAUUUUAAGUAUGGGCUAAAACUGACUUUAGCACAAAAGUAUUCUUCAGGAAUAAAGAUUGAAUAAAACAUGUUUGUUCCUUGAGGAUAAUAUGCUGUUUUCCAGAAUUUUAAUAAUGCAUACAAAGCUUUAGAAACUUGGUAUAAUGGUUUCAUGAUGUCCUUAGAAUGGUAGGAUGCUUGCCCAGCAUAUUUGUUGCCCUCCCUUCAACUCCCAGCACCUCAGAAAAUGGACAUGGUAGUGCACAGGUGUAAUUCUAGCACUAAGGAGAUAGAUGCAGGAGAAACCAAAGUACAAGGUCAUCUUAGGUUACAUGAAUUCUAGCCUAGCCUGGGCAACAUAAAAACACCCUUCCCCCAAGACACAUACAUACACACACACCACAUAAGGCUGGUGAGAUGACUCUCUGUAACCUGGUGAUCUGAGUUAGAUCCCUAGAACAUAGUAGAAGAACUGACUGCCACAAGUUGUUCUCCAACUUUCACAUGUUUGUGAUGGUACUUACACACACCCCAAAUAAAUAGAAGAUAAUAAAAAUAAAUAUAAAUCAACACAGCACUUUGCUUAGCAUUUAAAUCUUUUACUGGCGAUUUUAUAGUAGCUCUUCUUAAAUGGCAAUUCUUACUCAGUUGUUUUUGACUGUGAGGAUGUGUUAUGUCAGAAAUGGUACUUUAGUAUUUGUUGAUUGAAAAGAUCUAAGAGCCAGGCACUGCUGUUAAUUCAGCCAAGUGAGAAACUGUGUGUAUUCUCCCCAUCACCUCAUCUAUAGACAUGUUAAAAAUAGUGAUGUAUGUGCAUGACAUAUUAUUUAUUUAGUCUCCCUAGACUGAAUGUGAAUGUGGAUUUACAGACCCCUCACAAUAAAUUCUGCUACCCUCAGGGGUCCAAGACCUACUGCUUGAAAUCCAUGGAGCAGGACAGCCUUAUGAUUGAUGACAACGAGGAGGGCCUGGGGCACAUCUGCUAGUCUUCCAUGGCUUUCAUCCUCCCAGCCCUCACACAGCCUCCUUGAAAUGCCACACUCUGCUGUGUUUACUGGAAAUGUUUUCUGUAUAAACUUCAAAAAGUUAGUUAUGAUUCUCUACAAGAGAAACAUUUUUCAUAAAAAAAAUGUAGUGUACCUUGGAUGAAAAUUUAUUCAUCAAAGAAAAAUGAUUUUUGAUUUAGGAUCUACUAGGUCUCUAAAUGUGCACAACAGUACUUUAAAUGGGAGGUGCAUAUAUGCUUGUUUAAGGCAUGAUUUUAUAUACUUUUCUGAUAAAAUAUUUAUUACUAUAUUAAGUCAAAAGAUUCCCACAUAUCGAACUUGAAGACACAUAACUUUGUGUUCUCAUCACUAUGCAUACAUUGUAGUUGCAAUACGGCAACAAAGCCUACCAAUAAAGACAGUGAUGCUGCAAAAUGCAUGGCCAAGUAUCACUGUACGUUCAACACGUGCCAGAGCCUUCUGGAAUUUCUUUCUCUCCACUGAUUUUGUCAAAGCUUGUGAUUCAAGAUGUAAGUGUAUAUAUCUAUCCAAUUGUGUUUCCCACCUCACCUGUUUUUAUUGUCUUCUUUUUGGUUAAUCCUAGGUAGAGUCCCCCCUCCCCAGAAAUGCCUUGUUGUGUAUUGUCCUAAUAUUGUUUGUAUUUCGAUAUUUAUUUUGUUUCCCCAAGCACGAUUGCCCCUGACAAGCAGCAUCACAUACUCAGAUGAUCUCAUGUGAACCUUCUUCCCAUUUAACUGGUCAAUCAAGGCUAGAGCCUGUGAUUGGGCAGUGGAAGGGAAAGGCGGGACUGAAUGCUUGAGAGUGCAUACAGGUAGAGGAGAGAAGAGGGGAAGGAUGGAUGACAAGGACAAAAGAAGAGGAGGAGAAAGCCAUGAUGGACUAGAAACACGGCCAGGUGAAACUACAAGUAAGAAGGGGACUUAUAGCUGGGAAAUAUGUUAGUAUAGUGUUAGAUCUGCCCAAUCUGGGCAUAUAGCUUAUAAUUAUAAUAACUGGAUUGUGUGUUUUUAUUUGGGUUUAUUAGGGUUGGAAAUUCUCACAACAGUGCCUUAGUUAUUAUUUUUAACCUUUCAUAUAUGAAUCUGCACUCAUGUCUUUCCACUUUUUUGCACCAACAAUACCUUUCUUCCUCUCUUUUUAUCAUGGAACAACUUUCCUGUGAGUUUGUCAUCCUUUGCUUCCUGUGCACACUUUUGUCACAACCAGUUUCAAUCAACACUGUUCUGAUUUCCAGCCCCACUGUGUAGCUGUCUUCUUCUACUUUGUGGGUUCUUUUUCCUUGUACCCUCCUCUAAACUCUUUCUACCCUUUAAUCCCCCUAAACACUAGAUAAACGAGAAAGAAAGCUAGAAAAGAAAGGAAAUAUCCCUGAAUAAACUCAGGAGUCAGAAAGGGGGCAACAUUAUCAUUAGACUAUGUUUUUGCUAAUUAGGGGCAUUGAGUUCCUUGGGAUAAGUUUGAUCUUCACAAUUAGGAUAUCUAAUUUCACUCUUCUUCUUCUUCUUCUUCUUCUUCUUCUUCUUCUUCUUCUUCUUCUUCUUCUUCUUCUUCUUCUUCUUCUUCUUCUUCUUCUUCUUCUUCUUUCUCCUCCUCCUCCUCCUCUUCCUCCUCCUCCUCUCUCUCCUCCUUCUUCCUUUUUUUUUGUUUCUUCUUUGUCACAACUACUUAACAAACUAGGACCAAAAGCAACCAAUCAACAACCAUCAACCCAAUAACUCUCUUGGAGCUCUAGCAAUUAUACACCCUCUCAAAAGUUCCCAUAAUUCCAAAUAUCACACUAUUGCAGAAACUAUCUGGAGAUGGCAAAAUCACAACCUCACUAGAGCACUAGAAAAAUCACAAUCAGUUGCAGUGGACAAUGUGAAACAGGCCUAUAUUCCAUACCUGAGAUUUAAAAACAAGAUAAAUUUCUUAUAACAUUUCUAUGUUUAUUUAAAUAAACCAAAAAUUCCAAGAUUCUCAUUAUAUCAAUAUUUCAUUGAAAAGUUCUUAUCACAAAGGCAAGUUAUGUAGUAUCUAGAUCUGAGGUUAGCCCAUUACUUCUCCUUCACUGACUCUUACAUUAGUGUAUACAUAUUGAUCUUCCUUAAAUAUUUCCUUUGGUCUGAUUCCUUUGUUCUUUUAUUCAGGAAGAUUUGCUCACAUACAGGAAAAGAAAGGCUGAGUUCUUGAGCUAGAAGUCUGAGAAACUAGAAACCUAAACAUGAGGCUGCAGAAGAGUAAGCAUCAUGGUUGAUGAAACACACUUUGAGAGAGGACUUAAGAGCAAUACCUUAAGAUCAGAAGUGUCUAGGGAAACUUCCUGGGAAAGGUGACACUUAAUUAGAGACACUUGUCAGAUGAAUGUGAAUCAUCCAGACAUCAGGGUAAUGUAAUGAAAAGGACCAUGAAAGGAGAAGAGCUCAUGCAGAGGAUUUCAGUGUCAGAAGGGAAGAAGGGAGGGGAAGAGACAGAGAGAAAAAGACAGAGAGCUAGAGACAGAAAUAGAGAAAGACAGAGACAGAGAUAUGAGGUACAUGCACACAGAGAUACAUACAUACAUACAUACAUACAUACAUACGUACAUACAUACAUACAUACAGACACAUACAGAUACAGAUAUACAUACAGACACAGAGACACAGAGACACACAUAGAGACAGACACAUACAUAGACACAGACAGACAGACAGACAGACAGACAGAGAGACACAUAGACACACAGACAGACGCUGACAGACAUAGACAGACACACAGACUCCUAAAAACAGACAGAGACAGAGAGACAGACACAGAUAGACAGACAGACACAUAGAUACACAGACACAUACACAGUCAGCCAGCCAGACACAUAUACAGACAGACACACAAACACAUGGACACAUAGACACACAAAGAGAAACAGACAGGCAAACAGAUACAGACACAGACACAGAGAAACACAGAGAGAGGCAGAAUAGUCAGAGACAGACAGACACACAGACAGAUGGACACACAGAGGAAAUGAACCAAGAGAGAGGGAGGGAGAAAGGGAAGGAAGGAAGGAAGGAAGGAAGGAAGGAAGGAAGGAGGAGGAGGAGGAGGAGGAAGAGGAGGAGGAGGGGGGGUUGGGUGGAGUGUGAUGAAGAGAAUGGAAAAUAUAUCACCCCAAGGAGGUCACAUCACAUCAUGGCAGGCUUUGUGUGAUAAUUCGAGAUAAGAGUGUUUAAUGGUGCAGAAAUAUAAAGAACAUAGAUGUUAAAUUUUCUGUGGUUAGAGAAAGGGUUUAAAUGUGGCAAAGGUAGUUGAAGAGCUUCAGGAGGUCAUGACAUCAAUUCUGUGUAGUGUAGUGGUUAUACAGGCACCAGGCAUGAGGGAAUGGUGUUUCCUUUAUGCAGUAGUUAGUUCUGUCUUUCCAACUAUACUGUUAUGGAUGGUGGUGAUGUGGAAAUCAGUGUUGAGGAAAGAAGAGAGGGAAAGAAAGAAGAAAAGAAUGAAGGAGAGGAGAAGGGGAGUGGAGGGAGAGAGAGUUGAAUUAAUGCCACAUGGGAAGAAAUAAAAUGCUUUGCAGAUUAACUAGAAGCCAGAGGUAGGUAUAACAUCUGGUCUUAGAAGUUCAACACUGGGGCAACCACCAAUAUGGUGGUGCCAUUCAGGCCACUGGAAAGUACUCAAGUAGGAAUGUGGCAUUCCUAACAGUGAAAAGGAUUGUGGUUUAAGUUUUACUUUACUGGUGUUCUCCAAAGCAGACAUACUAGAAAGGCAGGAGGCACCUAGAAAGGUAUUGGUUGUUUAUAAACAGCUAGCAGAAGAAAUAAAUAAUAAGGAUUUUGUGUACUAGGAACUUUAUCAGAGAUUAUGUUUGAAUGGCCCACAAUAUAAAACAUGGGGACUUGGAACACUGUGGUUCUGGAGAAACCUCUUUUUCUCAAUAGAUAGAAAUCACAGAUCUGGAUUUAUGGCUCUUUAUAUUUGAUAUCAAGGAUUCUUAGACAAAAAUCACAUCCUUACAUCCUUAUGGCUACAUGUAUUUCUUCAAUGAUGGAAAACUUGCCUACAUACAUUGGGUCCUAGAUUUUAAUCUUGGCUCUACAAAAAAAUAAACAAAUAUAAAGCAUGGAUAUAUUAAAUAAGCAAACUUUUAAAAAGAAUCACACAUAUAGUAUCUGAAGCCACAUGCCUUUGUGUUAUCUCCAUGUUUAAGAGUGCUAUCAGUCAUCAGGGGGACUAAGGAAAGCACGGGGAAGUAAAAGAAGCCUUAGAAGAGUUUUGUGCAAAAGCUAAGGGCCUUUACUUCCUCGGGAUCCUGCCAAGGGCUGUGCACAUGUCCAGGUCUGAGGUCUGUAAGUCAGGAAAUAAUUUAUAGUAGUAAAUAGUGACAUAUGAAAUAUAAGGAAAGAAAACUAACAGUUUUUCAAUUUUCAUUGGUUUCCUCCUCCUUUUGUAUUUUAUGACCCACAUACAGCUUGCAGCACAAGUCACAUUUUUGCAAGAUCAUUGCUUUGAGGACUAUAUGAAGCAAUAGGUUACAAAAGGCUUUUUUUUUUUAAAGCCAGAACUGCAUUUAAGCCACUUUCAAGAAGUCCGAUUGCUACAUUGCUACAUACUUGACCACUUUCAGUGACAUUUUGGAUAUUGCACAGGGAGAAGUUUCACAGUUCUUCUAGAGAGAUAAAUUCAAGAAAAAAAUGAACCAUUUUUGUGUGUUAUGAAUAUGAGCUUUCAGUUCACAUUCUUACUCCCCAUCAUUUAUUAAGUCUUAAAUCUCUGCCCAUGCCAACAUAUUAUCAAUACAUUAUACAGAAAUACAACCUGCCUUAUGAAAAGGCUAUUUCCACACCAUUAAGAACAUGAAUUUUACUUUGCCAAUUUAGAACUAUUUUUUAGGAAAUUUCAUUUAGUUGUAUCUUAUAGUUCGUUAUAUUUGUUUCCUGAAAAAUCAGUAAAUUAUUUCCAGUUUAUGAAAUACUAUAGCAUCUACAAGGGUCAGAGUUUAUCUAUGGCGAAAUUUCUGUAAACACAGAAUGGUCAACUUCCCAACAGUGUCUUCUAAGAAGGUGGCCAACUCCCUUCUCUGUGUUAGUCAUGGUUAGUCACACAGGGAGGGACUUAACUCUGCUUACAAAAAAAUGAUUGUUCCACUAUCCUCAGGGAUGGGGUUAGUCACUAGUACCAGGCUGCUGCGUGGGGCAUUCCACUUCAUCUGUGCUUUCCCCAGGGCAGUAUUGUACUCAGACAAACGUGUCAGCAGAGAUCCUUGAUACAGGCACAAGGACAAUUAUUGCUCAGGUCAACUCACCCAGUCCUCAGAACCACCUGUAAUUAUUGGCUGCAUUUUAGAGAUUACAAAGCUGAAGUUUGGAAGGAAAAGACAUUUUCCUAGGGUCAACCAGAAUUGGGUUUUGAACUGAGUUUGGCUCUAGAGUCUGCUUUCAUAAUUAUCACACCAAUGCCUUCCAGAUUUUGUUCCCAAAGGAAGAAGAACUGGGGCAUCCUACCCCAGUCGCAGCAUCUCCUUGGCUGUUGUUUUGUAUAUUGAAGUUCCAUGAGGAACUUACACACAGGGCCAACAGCCACGCUCUUAAAACUAUGGGAAACUUUUGAAUCAAGACACCCCUCUGCACCUCUGAGGUACAGAAUGUGGAUGCUGUGUUGCUUACUUUAGGCCCUCCAAAUAAAUGGUCAACUCAAAUAAUCCUGCUGGAUUAUGCCAGUAAACCGUGGGCUAGGUCAAUUUAGGCUGCCAAAGUGAUCAAGUGAGAAUGCAGUAUAGCUUAACUAACCUUUUGGUUUUCCGCAUGCUCACCACUACAGUAUAAAUAUGAUGAAGACCAUGGAUGUCCAGUGAACUUAGCAGUAUAGAGGUUAUUGGAGAAUAGAUAAAAACUUAAAAACAUCCUUGUCCCAGCUGGGCUUUGUUCACAGUGUGGGCAUUUGGGGCAUGAAUCUUUGAGUGCAACAACUCAAGAGCACACAGUCUAAGAUGACAGAGAAGGGAGCCAAGAGAGGGACAGAAACCUACCAUUCACAUAGGCUGAAGGAGGAAGUGUUUGUUUUGAAACUUUCAAUGUAAUGAUUUCAACCUUAGCCUUGAACUGCUGGGUCUUAUACAUAAGAUUUGCUCACACUUGGUCUUUCAAGUUUGAUUUGUAGAGAAUAAAUGGUUUAGUCUAGAAAAAUGUCACUGAGGAAAAUCAAUAAAUAUCAUACACUUUUUAUAUAUUAAUGCUUUUGUAUAGUUGUAGUGACACAUUGAAAUAAUUAAAAUAUUCACUGAUUAUCUAUUGUACAUUGCACUAGACAGAGGUUAUAGGGAGAGUGGACCACACUAAAUUCCUGUUCUGACCAUGUUUAUAGUGUAGUGGGAAAAGAUGGUUAAAAAUAAAUAAACACUCCAUUUAGAAUGCCAGUUUCAGAUACUUGGAAUGAAAAACAUUACUAAUCAGGGCACUGAGACUAGCUUUGUUAUAGGUAGCAAGGAGGGACAUUCUACACAGGGUGGCUAGGGAAUUCCUCAGAUGGCAUAAACUGUGAAAUUGUACAGAAACAACACAAAACAAAAAAAAAUUAGAAAAAUAGGUAGUAAUUUAAGGGAAGAAACAUUCCUUCUAAGAGGUACAGCACACACAAAGGCAUCAAGGCACCCUACUUGCUUGAGUGUGCUUGGAGCAGAGAGUGGGCCAAGAGGAACAGACACAUAAACAACAUGGAGAUGAGGUCAAUGCAGUGGACAAGCUGGUUUUCCCCAGAUCUUUGUAAGCCACAAGGACUGUGACUUGAAUGUGAAUUCUAGGGGUAUCAUGAGGAGAGAAAGGUUGCAAUAUGACAUUUCAAUUACUUGUGUCUGUGUGAGGAGUUUCAAAACCGAUGGGGAUGGUCCUGCCAUUAUUCAACUGAGGGAGAUGCUGACUUCGCAUCACUGUGAAGUUAGUAAAACAUGAAGAUUCUGGGUGUAUCCUGCUAGAAAGUAAGUGUAGAUUGUAGGGGGAAAAAACCAAAGAAAUCAAAGAGGACUAAGGAAAUGGAAUUGUUGUGCAUAGAAUGGGAAAGACUGGUUCACAAAGACGUUUGAAAGGUUUUUCUCCCCUUUAGACAAAAUGUCAGCCCUGACUAUCUUCAAUCUUGCUACAAUCCUGCUAACUCUGCCUUCCAAAUGCCACAGUUUCGGAGGUGUGCCCUCACAUCCUUAUUAUAGUGUUUUCUUCUUAUGAGGGUGCAAAAUUCAUUGGAGGAACUUUAUUCUGGUGACUUUAUGUAUCUAUACCAAUUACCUCACAGAAGAGCUUACUGCCACAGUGCGGGGAGAGGCUUCACCACAUGAAUGCUAUGUGGAGCACAACUUAGUACCCAAUAAGAGACAAUGUACAAAAGAAGAGUCCGUCAAACUGGACAGCUUUUCACAGUCUUUCACAGGCAUUAGCAAACUUAGAAAAAAAAUGAAAGGAUCUAAAGUGGGGUAUUAUGAAGAUUAGUAAACGUGGACUGUUUUAAUUACUAAUGUUGUAGGAUGACUAUGAUGAGACUUUGGAAUGGCCACUGAUUUUAGCAAUGUGAAUAUUUUGGUGAUACGAAAACUUGUUUGUGCUGUAGUACAAAUGAUUGCCCCAUUGCCAUGAAUUUCACCAGAACAUGUUAAGUAAGAUGAUUAUUGAUUAAUGGUGGAGAAUAAUCACUUCUGGAAAGAAGUGAUCCCAGUAAGAUUUUGUGGAGCAAAGAAGAGUACCAUGGGAAACAGUGUACUUUCGUCUGGGUACUUUUUGAGGAUAUAUUUGAGAUGAUGAAUAGAAGGAUAGAAGGGGUGAUUGGAGGAAGACAACAGAGAUGGAACAUAGGUCUGCUGGCCUUUUGGCCAUGUGGUUCCCUCACUAUAGAAGUGGAGAACUACUUUAUAGUUGUGAGACCUAAAACAGAACAUCAGCAAUUGUUGACAGUUAUUUACCCAGAAAGUACAUCUCAAAGAUCUCUUCUCUGGUUGAAAUUAGAAAAAAAAAUGAUUCAGUCAGUUUUAUCUGCUCAGAAUUUUGGUUUUGCCUUGCACUAGACACUGCAUCUCAGAAUUGUGCAAUUGGUGGUGUGUCUAGAGGGCAGAGACUUUUGUUCUUGAUGGGAUGCUUCUCUAGUCUGCUUAUCAUGGCACAGAGCUGAGUGGUAUCUCAGCUAGACACCGAGAGGUUUGCUCAAUGCUUUACGCAGGAACUAAUCUCAUAAAGGGUUAUUAUCUUAACCUUCUGAAGACAUCACGUAUUCUCAUGACACAGAAUGGAAAGUCAUGCUAGUGUUCCUGGAUCUGUGGUGGGUACACAAAAUGCAGUAGAGUCAUAAAGCAUGUUAAUUAUCUUACAUUUUCCUCUUGUAAGUUUUCUUUAUUUUCACAGAAAGUAGGGUCUGAUGACCUAAACUAAGCAUGCCGACAUCGAAUUUCCAAAUUCUGGGAUACUCUCAUAAUUUUGCUACUUAAAACCACACUGAGCUUCCAACAGUUAUUCAGAAGAGCCCCUGUGCAGGCAAGUGUCCCAUCAGUUUAUGGCAGGCUCUGAAACAAUUUACUUGAAUGGGAGUUCUGUUGCCUUUUGAGCAGAGUGGUUGUCUGAAACAAAUUUACUGUACAGUAAGUUGUAUUUCCUGAGGUAACUAAGUUCCCGUCUAAUGGCUUUAGAGUGCAGUUCCCAGGAGUCAUAAUGCUUUUUGCACAUAAGCUUGCAAGUGCUCAGUGCAGACUUGGGCAAAUAAACCCCUCUAUGCACAAACGGUUCUAGAAAUCUCUUGCAGACAAUCCAAACAACAUAGCCUUCCCACUCUUUACCUUCCUCUAAGCUUAUACUUCUGAGUUUUUGUUAACAUUUAAAAAGAUAUUUAAAGCUGCAUUUUGUUCACCUUGUAAAAUGAAAGAGUACAUUGUACAGGCACUGAAGGUACAGGUCAAUGCUUUUAUCAAGUCAGGGGCCUGUUCUACAGCAUUAAUUGGAAACAUGUGUUGAAAAUUCAGGGCAUGUUUCUCAGUGUCUCUUUAAUUUAGUGAAUAAAAUAAGAACUAAACUCACAUUUCUUUAUGAGGCCAGUCUGUUGGAGUUGUUCUAUUAGCAGGUCUGAUGAAUGACUCUGAGGGACAAUGCAGGUACCUGUGACAAGGCUGCUGGGAUGCUGGUUGUUCUUCUAUUUAAGACCUUAUUCAUGGAUCUCCUACACUUUCAGGCACCACUAUAGAGGACUUGUUGUAAUUGAUUCUCUGAAACUUAGCUGAACGAUACUGAUAGAAAGCAUAAUUGAUUUCAAAGACACUGGAUGACCGACACAUGAAAGAUUUUUCAAAUAACCAUAUGUCAGAAGCUAAAUCUGCAUAGUCUCACCAGUAUGACGGCCUAAACAUGACCUGAAGAAAGAGAAGAACAGUAGACAUGACAAAACGGACAGAGGAAGGAGAGUAAAGCCUCACCCUACACUAAGACCUACAGGAAACAAACAAGUAUGGAAAGUGAGAGAAAUAGUCCUUCCCAGGGAAGAGCGCAUCAAUUGGUUGUAUGUUGUGUGUAGCUUUUUGCGACCCUACCUAUGUUCCAGGAAUGGGCCUAGCUAACACCUCCCAGCUUCCCAUGAGUCCACGCAUAACACACACACACACAGUUCAUUUUCUUUCUUUCUUUUUUUAAUUGUCAUCAGGAUGUUUAUUGGAUAUUUUCUUUAUUUACAUUUCAAAUGUUACCCCCUUUUCCAGUGUUGCCCCUGGGAGCCCCUUAUUCCAUCUUCCCUUCCCCUGCUUCUAUGAGGGUGUUCCCCUAUCUACUCCCACUUCCCUGCCCUCUAAUUCCCCUACAUUGGAACACCGAGCCUUCACAGGACCAAGGGCCUCUCCUCCCAUUGAUGCCCAAUAAAGCCAUCCUAUGUUGCAGGAUUUUCCCUAUCCAAUUACAUUAGGGCAGCAGGAGGCUUGUGAUUGGACAGGGAAAAGGGAGGCAUAGCUAAGAGUUGCAGAGACUGAGAGUGUCUCAGAGAGAGAAAGGAGACGAGGACACAGGUUCAUGUCCUUCUCCAUCCUCACCUUCUCCUUUCUCUCUCUGAGACACUCUCUGUCUCUGCAACUCUUAGCUCUGCCUCCCUUUUCCCUGUCCAAUCACAAGCCUCCUGCUGCCCUAAUGUAACUGGACAGGGAAAAUCCUGCAACAGUCCUCUACUACGUAUGUGGCUGGAGUCCUGGGUUCCUCCAUUUGUACUUAAGAAACAGUAUUCACUUGAAUAUAACUACAUUGUUAAUUUUUUAAGAAUGUACAUUUAUUUAUUUACUUACAUAUUAAAUGUUGCCCUCCCCUGGUCCCUCCUCACAGAGAUGCUAACCCUAUUGCUCCUCCCCUCCCCUCUGAGAAGUUGGGUCACCACUGGGCAUUCUCCCAUCCUCUCACUGUAGGUCUCUGCAGGAUUAGGUACAUCCUUUCCCACUGAGGACAGACAGGACAGCUCUAUAGGGGAAGGGAUGCCACAGUCAAGGUGCAGCUUUAGGGAGAGCCUCUGCUCUAGCUGUUGGGAGGCUCACAUGGAGACUGAGCUGCAUGUCUGCUAUAUGUGUUUUUUGGUUGGUAGCUCAGACUCUGAGAGCUCCUAGUGGUCCAUGAUAAUUGACUCUGUUGGUAGUCCUGUGUGGUUCCCAUCCCCUUCAGGGCCUUUAGUCCUUCUCCCAACUCUUCCAUAAGAGUCCUGGACUUCCAACCAAUAUUUGGCUGGGGGGCAACUGCAUCUGUUUUUGACAACAGCUCGUGAGAGCUUCUCAGAGGGCAGUUAUGCUAGGCUCCUGUCUGUAAGCAUAAAAAAAAUAUCAAGUAUAAUGUGAGGAGUUGGUGCUUGCCCAUGGGAUGGGUUUCAGGUUCAGUCAUGUAUUGAUUGGCCAUUCCCUCUGUCUCUGCUCUGAGGUUGAGAGUUUUGAGGGUGGGUUGAUGUAGCCAUUCCUCCAUUGGGAGUCGUGCCUGGCUGCAGGAGGUGCCCUCUUCAGGUUCCAUGUCCCCACUGUUUCUUCUCCCUGAUUUUAGUGAGAUUGCUUCAUGUUUCUCUCCAUUUAAUUUGAUGUUGGCUGUUGGUUUGCUGUAUAUUUUUUUUAAUAUGUUUAGGUAUGUGCCCUCAAUCACUGAUCUACCCAAGACUUCUAACAUAAAGUGAUGCAGGAUUGUGGAAGGCUUUUUUCUGCAUCUCAUUGGAUUAUGAUGUGAUAUUUUUUCUUUCAAUUGGUUUAUAUAGUGGGUUAUGUUAAUGGAUGUUCCUAUAUUGAACCAUCCUUGCAUGCUUGGGAUGAGGUCUAUUAGAUUGUGAUGAAUAAUGAUUUUGAUGUGUUCCUGCAUUCUUUCUAUGAUAAUUUUUUGGGUAUUUUUGUGUCAAUGUUUAUAAGUGAAAGGAGUCUGAACUUCUCUUUCUGUGUUGAAUCUUUGUAUAGUUUAGGGAUCAGGGUAAUUGUGGCCUCAUCAAAUGAAUAAGAUAGUGUUCCUUCUGUUUUUUUUUUUUGUGGAAUACUCUGAGGAGUAUUGGUAUUAGCUCCUCUUUGAAAGUCUGGUAGAAUUUUGCACUAAAAUCACCUUGCUCAGGGCUUUUUUUGGUUGGGAGAUUUUAAAUGACUGCUUCUAUUUCCUUAGGGGCUAUAGGACUGUUUAGGCAGUUUACCUGAUCUUGAUUUAACUUUGGUAAGUGGUAUCAGUCUAUAAAAUUAUCCAUUUUGUUUAGAUUUUCCAUUUUUUGUGGCAUACAGGCUUUUGAAGUAUGACCUAAUGAUUUUUUUUUUAAAUUUCCUCUUAUGUCUUCCUUUCCAUUUUUGAUUUUGUUAAUUUGGAUACUGUCUUUCUGUUUUUCUUAAAAACCAGAUCCUGGUUUUGAUAAAUCUUUUAUUGUUCUCUUUCUUUCUAAUUGAUUGUAGUGCCUACAUUUUCAUUGAAUUCUAAAAAGUCUUUAAUUUCUUCUCUGACUAAGUUAUCAUUGGGUAGAGAGUUGUUUCACUGAGUAUGUGGGUUUUCUGUUUUUAGGUUGUUGUUGAGAUCCAGCCUUAAUUCCUGGUGAUCUGAUGAAACACAUGGGGUUAUUUCAAACUUUUUCUAGCCAUUGAGGCUUGCUUUGUGCCCUAUUAUAUGGCAAAUUUUGCAGAAUUCCUUGUGGUGCUAAGAAGAAGGUAUAGAUUUUUGGGGGGUGGGAAGGGAAGGAAGGGUCGAUAAAUAUUCGUUAAAUGCAUUUGGUUUACAACUCCCAUUAGUUUCAUUGUUUCUCUUUUUUAGUUUCUGUCCUUGAGAGUGGGAUGUGGAAGCCACUAUUAUUGUGUGGUGCUCAAUGUGUGAUCUGAACUCUAGUAAAGUUUCUUCUAUGAGUCUAGGUUUCCUUGCUUUUGGGGCAUAGAUGUUAAGAACUAAGUGGCUAUCCAGACUGUUAAUUUCAUGUGUGAAUGCUUUUUGGUAUGAAUCAAAGUUAGAGCCUUUCCAAAGAUGUUGAAUGUUUAAUUGGUAAAUGUUCCUGGGUAUGAAGUACAGUUUGAUGAUGUCCUACACAACUUAGGAAUGAAGGAGCUGCACAGCGUACAGACAGAUCUGAACCCUUUGAGUGUACAUGGUUGUGCUUGCUCAUGUCUCCUUCCCAAUUUUUACUCAGAACAUAGAUCCAACUAAGUCACCUCCAUCCUUCCAUUGAGAAACUUCUAGACCUGUACAUUAUAUCCCCUAAGCUUUAUAUGGCAAAGAUUUCCCUUCAGACAAACUUCAAGGAUUCUUGAAGGCAAGUUCAAAACUUCACUUAUCUCAUAGAAUUUUUUCGUCUCCCAACUGUUCUUAAACUUUCUCAAAGAAAUGAGAGUAUAACAAUAUUCUAGGAUUGUGACGGAGAAAUGGACUUCAGAAAUGGAAAUAUUUAGGGGCUGAAGAGAUGGCUGAGUGGUUAACUAACAUUCUCAGCACUCACAUAAAGAGUCUAUAACUCCAUCUCCUGAGAAUCCAGUGCCUCUGGGCUAUACUCAUGCUACAAUCCUGCCCCCAUACAAACACACAAAAAAGAAAUGUAAAUCUUAAAAUAGCAAUAUUUUAUAUAGUUCUGAAGAAAAUACCACUUUUGUUAUUGUAUUGUUUUAUUCUAAUGUACCUCUUGCAGAACUGACAAAUCUUACUAAACUUGAAUAAUCUUUGAUAAAUUGUUGCAUAAGAAAAGCUGUAUCUGGGCUGGUAAGAUAGCUUGCUCAGUGGAUUAAGAGUGCUUGGCAUGACACCUAACAACUUGAGUUCAAUCUCCUGAGCCCAUGGCAUGCAUGAGCUCACACUCAUACACCUAUCAUAGACCAAGCAAUCAUUUUUAUGUUUGACCCACUGUUAAUACCUGACUAUAAUUCUGUAAUGCAGUGUAUCUACAUUGGCUUAGUUAGACAGUUUUCCUGGAAGUCUCAACAUAUGGACUGGGCUCGAGCUUGCAGAGCAGACUCAGUUAUGAUCUGCAAGUCAUCAUAGGCCAGGCAUGGGGAACCGCAACUCUCUGGGGAAUACUACUUGAAAUCUUUUGAAAAUAAAAUGUAUUAAAUUUCCUUGCUAGUUUAGUAACACCCCCACCCCCAAUGUAAAGAGCCAUUUAACUAAUAAAACUGCAGGAAGGGAAGGAAACAGGAAGUGUUUCACAGUAUGCAUACAUUAGAUCUAGCUCUGAAAAGCAAAGUAUCAGGGCCACAUCAGGAACUGCCUUCUCUCCUCAUGAGUCCCCAGAGUCUUCUUCUCUCUGCCAGCUUGCUAGGAGUUGCUGCUGCUGAUUCUGAUUUUUCUUUCCUCUUUUUCCUCUUUCUCUUCUCCUUCUCUUCCUUCUCCUUCUCUUUCUUUUUUUCUAUUUCUCUUCUUUUAUUUCUUCUUUAGCUAUAUUUCUCUUCUUCCUCCUCCUCCUCAUCUUCCUUUUCUUUCUUCCUUCUCCCCCCUCUGCCUCUUCCUUCUCUUAUUUUCCUUUUAGUUUCUUCCUAAAUUACAUAUUGGCUUCUCCAGAAAAUACACUUUUAAACAAGCCACACACCCAUCUUAUUUCAUUUAAUUUUCUGGUCUCUUGGUCUCAUCACCUUGACUAGGACUGGGAAGUGAGGCAUCAGGAAAUUGCAUAAAACAAUGUGUUACAAAUUGGCUAGCUGUGGCUCAAAAAUCCUAAAAACCACUAUCAAUCUUUGCUGGUGCUGGUGGGGCAAUCACAGUCUAGAAAGAUCUGACCUACUUCCCUUGCUACUUUGGUUCCUGUAGCUCUGCUUUUGAAUGAAGGGCUUAUUUGUAGGUGCUGCAUGGGUUAGCAGGAAUUCAAAUAUGAGCAAUCAAGGCAUACAGGCUACCACUGAGUAGCAGAAAACAGCAAACAAUCAAUUAAUCUUCCUUGUUUUUGCUUUUAACCUUGAGUAGUUCUCAAAAAAAAUUUUUACAAAGGGUUUCUUCUAAGAUCCUAGUGAGAACACAUGACAUCAACAUGGUCAUCAUCACGGUGGGGCAUCUAAGCAUGACCCCCUCCUUUCAUGUUGUCACACUUCAUUGACUUCUGGAUGAUAUCCCUAUGACUAUUACUUUCGUAAAUUUCCUUAUCUGUCUCAUAGCUUUUGGCAAAGAGCAAAGCUCAGAGGCAGAGUUUAUAGACAUAAACAUUAUUUAAUCUAUUCCCAUUUGUCUGGCUAUUAUAUCCAAGAUCAACAUUAAAUUUCAAACUCUCUAUAAAUAUAGCUAACAGUUUAAGACUCAUCCACAUUCCUUCAACUGGAACUUUGGCCACCAAAAUCUCUCCUGAUUUUUUUGUGGAAAAACACUCCUCUAUCAAUAUGGAGGUAGGGGUGAUUCUGUCUUGAAGAAUCAAGAGUCUUUAGGGUCAAUGAGAUCUUGGUGUGAAAAUCUACUCUACUCUGUGAUGAGAAUUUCAGAUGGAGUUCUUCAAAGGAUGGAAGGGAAAAAAAUUAACAGGUGAGCAGUAAAAUUCAUGUUGAAUUUUAUUCAAAUAUGGUGGAGGAAAAAAAAAUCAUGGGUAAAUGAAAGGAUUAUCAGGCAGGUUAAAACAUGAGCCAAGCCUAGUCCAUAUAGUGUUGUAUACUGAACAAGAAAAAGCAGACAGUCAUUUCAGGGCACUCUUCACAAUAAAGAUACAGAGAAAAUCAUUUUAGGUUAACUCAUAUAACCUCUAUAAUGAAGUUUCAUCUAAAGAAUUUGCUAAAAAAUUCACAUCCCUUGUUAAGAAAGUAAAUCAGGACAACAGCCAUAAAUGUGUGCAGAGAAAGUCCUGUUGUUGUCAUCAUUCCCCUUACAAUAUGAUUAGGAUGAAGCAGAACUGUAACUGUGUUUUCUGGGAGUAUCAACUCACAGGAAAAUUGAGGAGGCAAACUUUGAAUCUAGAUGUCAGAUAUUUGUGAAGGAUUCUAACAAUGAUGUUUGAGUAUAAGGAUUACACGAAAGAAUGAUGGUUGAUUUUCUGGGUCGAGUCUAGCGAAAGUCUCAUGGAGCCACAUUUUUUUCCCUUAUUCUUAGAUAGCCCCAAAGAGCUUUGUGAAUUCACAGCUGACUAUCGGGUAGUUUCAGCCUUGUUUUGAGGGCCUCAGGCUUCAUUUCUUACACCAUGUGCUCUGAGGCCAGAGGGUGCUUACCUCUUUUGCACACCACCAUAGCUAAUGCUAAGAACAAAAACUAGCACAAAUGUUCAGCAACUGUUUUUAAAACGAAUAGGCUUAUCUUUUAUUUCUCUACAUGUCCCAGGUCUGUACCUUGCGUAUAACCUUUCCUUGCUAAACUUUUGUUAAGUCAAACACCCAGUGAAGAGUUGUCUGGCUCAGAAACAGGGUGUUGUAUUUUAUAAAUUUGAUUCUAGGUCAUGAAGCAAACCUUUUCUAAAGUAGACCUCUGACCUUUUACAAUUAUAUAAUAAAGACACCUAUGCUAAUGCAGGGCCUCUUUUUUCUUCCAUAAUGAACUUUGCACCAUAUCUGUUGCCAGCCCCAACUUAUAAAUUUUAAGCUGAAAAAAAAAAUCCCUCCAAAAUGAAAUCCAUUUGUCUUAGAAGUGGGGAUACUGACAUUCAAAGAGUCACAAUUCAUUGAAACUCUGUUUCUGUGCCUUUCAAGUCAGUCAGUGGUCUCCAGAGCAUUUAUUUUCAGGCACAGACAGUGGAAAGCACAGAUGUAAGCAUGGCCUGGAAUAACAGGAUCUGAGCACAUUGUAGAGUGUUUCUACACCGUGUGUGAAACAGAAUGCCAUAGUUUUCUUGUCUCCAAGGACAUGAACAACUUGUGCUUAGAGGCUGUAUGCACCAUUUUGUAACCAAGUGAAUCAAUGCAAUGCAGAGAUGGAUAGAAAUAUCUGUUGGCCUACAAAGAUGAAAUAAAAAUCCAAAAUGUCCCAAGUAUGAUAAAUUCUAUGGGUGCUAUUGCUAGUAUUACUUUGGGAAGACACUCAUCACUGAUUUUUCUCAUUUAUUCUACACAUACUGGUUGUGUACUUUUAAAUUAUUUGUAUUCUGUUCCAAAUUUUAAAGUCACUUGGAAAGAGUUAAGGUACAUACAUACAUCUUAAAUUAUAAAAAACACAAUAGUAUAGUAACAUUCAUGCAUGACUAAGUAGGAAUUUGUGCUUUAGUAUUAUAUUUGUAAUUGAUAUAUUUAUAAAUAUACAUAUUUUUCUUAAAUGUAACCUAUCAAAAAAUUGAAAUGUGAUAGAAAUUUCUUUCUUUUAAUUUUUUUUAAAUGGAAGCCAGGCUAGCCUGAAACAGCAAUCCAGGCUGACCUUGAAUCCAUGAAAACCUGUCAGCAGCUUUGGCCUCCCAAGUUAUGAGCAUAUAAGCACAACCAAUAUAUGGAUAAAAUGUAGGAGAAUCUCUCUCUCUCUCCCUCUUGCAUGUACUUGUAAGUCUGUUUAUAACUUUUCCCAUUAGCUUUGGUAAUAAAAGUAAAUCUGAUAUUUAAAACCGCACAAAAUCGAAGUUGAUGAUAUAGGUAGUUAAGAGCAGAGUGUUGAAGACUGAACCUACAGUUAGUAAUCAAACACUUAACUCAUGAGCAGAGAAGAAAGUAUAACCCAAGAAGCCAAAUAAUAGGUGGCUAGAAUAAAGGAAGACCACACUGCACAAAUGCUGUCCCAAAGCAAUGAGGAAAAAGAUA
ensembl:processed_transcript